rnacentral:rRNA from 1 species
AGCAGCCGCGGUAAUUCCAGCUCCAAUAGCGUAUAUUAAAGUUGUUGCAGUUAAAAAGCUCGUAGUUGAAUUUCGGGGUUAGUAGAUCGGUCGUGCCACUGGUAUGUACUGGUCUUACUGAUUCCUCCUUCCUGAUGAACCGUAAUGCCAUUAAUUUGGUGUUGCGGGGAGACUGGACUGUUACUUUGAAAAAUUAGAGUGUUUAAAGCAGGCUAACGCUUGAAUACAUUAGCAUGGAAUAAUGAAAUAGGACGUUCGAUCCUAUUUUGUUGGUUUCUAGGAUAGACGUAAUGAUUAAUAGGGAUAGUUGGGGGCAUUAGUAUUCAAUUGUCAGAGGUGAAAUUCUUGGGUUUAUUGAAGACUAACUACUGCGAAAGCAUUUGCCAAGGAUGUUUUCAUUAAUCAAGAACGAAAGUUAGGGGAUCGAAGACGAUCAGAUACCGUCGUAGUCUUAACCAUAACUAUGCCGACUAGGGAUCGGAUGAUGUUAAUUUUUAAUGACUCAUUCGGCGCCUUACGG